GCAAUAAACUUUUGAUAAAAUGCUGCAACCGGGUAACCUGAAAGGAAGAAUGCACAUUGCUUUACUGUUAUCAAAACCCUAUCUAUUGGGAAUGAGUCACAUUAUUGCGGAAUUUUUGGUGUCAGAUUAAAAUUUGGAAGAGCUUAUAAUUUAAAUUACAAAAUAAUUUGAAUUAAAAAAUGUGACAGGUUAAAGGUAAUUUUGCAAUAAAUUCAAAUCAAACAUGCUUUGCAUGCAUUCACAACAAAAUGGGAAGAAUAAAAAAACAGCCUCUUAAAUGUCAGGUACAUCAUUUAUAAACACCUGUGCAUACAUAUAACCUAGGUAUAUGUGCAUUACAUUUGCUUGAUAUGCUUAUAUAUAUAUAUGUAUAUAUCCAUAGAUAUCUUAAGAAAACAUCUCAGUUAAAUCGCUUCAUUUUGAGGCUGACUAUCUAGCGUCCAACUCAAAA